AAAUACAUGUAGUGUGGUCAAACUCCAUAAAAAAACUGCACUGCCCUCUACAGUUUAUUAACAGUACCUACAACUCUCGUGCUGAGUUGUAAUGUGUAACAACUUUUCAGUGAAACAAAAGUUUAUAGUAUUGAAGCCAUUCAAAUGGUCCAUUGUUGAGUUUCGCUGAGCUCUUCUGGUUUGAUAUACAAAUUAAAGAAAAGCAUCACAAAAGGUUCUCUUUUUUUUGUCUCCAUCCUGGUAUUUAAAAAAAUGCAUCAAAUAAUAAAAGAUACAGAAAUGAUCAUUCUGUCAGUAUAUGUAGUUAGGGAUUAGUACACCAAAAAGAAUAUCAACAUGUGGGUAAGUUGGCCGUUGCUAAGAUAAAUAAUACAACACAUCACAUAUAAUAGCAGAUAUAUAGCACAAUUAGCGCAAUACUGGGAAUAGCUAAGAUCCUGUGCAGGACUCUCAAACUCCCGAAAAAAUAACAAACACAUUAAAAUUAAAA